GAUGAACGCUGGCGGCGUGCCUAAUACAUGCAAGUCGAGCGAACGGACGAGAAGCUUGCUUCUCUGAUGUUAGCGGCGGACGGGUGAGUAACACGUGGAUAACCUACCUAUAAGACUGGGAUAACUUCGGAAAACCGGAGCUAAUACCGGAUGAUAUUUUGAACCGCAUGGUUCAAAAGUGAAAGACGGUCUUGCUGUCACUUAUAGAUGGAUCCGCGCUGCAUUAGCUAGUUGGUAAGGUAACGGCUUACCAAGGCAACGAUGCAUAGCCGACCUGAGAGGGUGAUCGGCCACACUAGAACUGAGACACGGUCCAGACUCCUACGGGAGGCAGCAGUAGGGAAUCUUCCGCAAUGGGCGAAAGCCUGACGGAGCAACGCCGCGUGAGUGAUGAAGGUCUUCGGAUCGUAAAACUCUGUUAUUAGGGAAGAACAUAUGUGUAAGUAACUGUGCACAUCUUGACGGUACCUAAUCAGAAAGCCACGGCUAACUACGUG
rnacentral:rRNA from 1 species